rnacentral:rRNA from 1 species
GAUGAACGCUGGCGGCGUGCCUAAUACAUGCAAGUCGAGCGAACAGACGAGGAGCUUGCUCCUCUGACGUUAGCGGCGGACGGGUGAGUAACACGUGGAUAACCUACCUAUAAGACUGGGAUAACUUCGGGAAACCGGAGCUAAUACCGGAUAAUAUAUUGAACCGCAUUGUUCAAUAGUGAAAGACGGUUUUGCUGUCACUUAUAGAUGGAUCCGCGCCGCAUUAGCUAGUUGGUAAGGUAACGGCUUACCAAGGCGACGAUGCGUAGCCGACCUGAGAGGGUGAUCGGCCACACUGGAACUGAGACACGGUCAAGACUCCUACGGGAGGCAGCAGUAGGGAAUCUUCCGCAAUGGGCGAAAGCCUGACGGAGCAACGCCGCGUGAGUGAUGAAGGUCUUCGGAUCGUAAAACUCUGUUAUUAGGGAAGAACAAAUGUGUAAGUAACUAUGCACGUCUUGACGGUACCUAAUCAGAAAGCCACGGCUAACUACGUG